rnacentral:rRNA from 1 species
UACGAAGGGGGCUAGCGUUGUUCGGAAUUACUGGGCGUAAAGCGCGCGCAGGCGGUCCUUUAAGUCAGGGGUGAAAGCCCAGAGCUCAACUCUGGAACUGCCUUUGAAACUAGAGGACUUGGGUACGGGAGAGGUGAGUGGAAUUCCUAGUGUAGAGGUGAAAUUCGUAGAUAUUAGGAAGAACACCAGUGGCGAAGGCGGCUCACUGGCCCGGUACUGACGCUGAGGCGCGAAAGCGUGGGGAGCAAACAGGG